ACGUGGACCUAUCUAUGAACAAGCCGUGAAGUGCCAGGAGCUACUCGAUAAGCUCGUCGCCCAUGAAAAUGAUGUUGUCGGUCUCUGCAGGGAGUACCAGGAUUCAUUUGAGUAUUGGGCUGGCCACCACCGUGUUUUUGCUCGCAAAAGCUCAUGCCUUGAUAACAAGCUCCGAAAUACCCCAUCUUCCCAGGAGAUCAUCGUGUGUCAUUUAGCCAUCUUGGCUGACUCGGCAGAAAGAUUGUUGAAUCGUAUCGAUGGUGCUAUCAUCAACGGCACUCGACGGCAGACCAAGCUAAGCCAGGGA
rnacentral:sRNA from 1 species